GUCAAAGCUGCUGAUUGACAUGCAAAGCAAGCUGCAUUAAAAGCUCCAGCAGGUGAGUGACCUACUCUAAACGAGCUCAGUGAAGAAAAGAAACAAGGGAAACAGCUUCAAUUGAGAAAAAGUCUUUCUCUAGGGAUUCAUCAGUGUCCAGGGCUAAAGAAGGCCUGAGUCUGCACUUGGCUGCUGGCUGCUGUCACUGCUAUACCCAAAGGACCAGAGGCAGACCAGAGGAUGCUCAUACUAGGAUUCAGUGAUACCUCUGGACAGGUCCAACAGGAGAAAGGACAUUGACCUUCUGGCAUCACAUGUGGGAUUGGAAGCACUCAAGCAGACUCUUACAGGAGCAGCUGGAGGAAAAAGGGCACAAGUUGCAAAGGUACCAGCUACAAAGAAGUGUCUGGGAUCUGGAAAAGGAACAGGUCAUACACCUAUGA
ensembl:lncRNA